CGAAUGCAGCCAAAGUGGCUCUCAUUCAGGCUCAGGAGUUGUUGGCCUGCCGUGCCGAGCUGUUAGACGCCGAAGGGUGCUGCAGCCGGAUACGGCGGCCGGCACUCCUGAUGGGAGUCGGCCAACAGCAGUUGCCCCUGACUCGGGAUGGGAACUUAUAGCCAUCGGUGACCGAGGAGUGCAGUGCAGGCUCCCGGGUCGCUUCUGUCCGUGUCAAUGACUCUGGGGCAGUGUCGGAGGACAUGUGUGUGCUCGGGUGGGAGGUCGGCCACGCCAUGCACUGAAGUUGUUGGUAGCAGGAUGGUUUCAUUCGACCCGUCUUGAAACACGGACCAAGGAGUGCAACAUGCGUGCGAGUCUUGGGGUGGAAAACCUGUUGGCGCAAUGAAAGUGAAGGCAGGCCACAUUGUCGACCGAUCCCAGGCUACGCUGUAGUGGGAUUUGAGUGAGAGCGUGCCUGUUGCGACCCGAAAGAUGGUGAACUAUGCCUGAAUAGGGCGAAGCCAGAGGAAACUCUGGUGGAAGCUCGUAGCGAUUCUGACGUGCAAAUCGAUCGUCAAAUUUGGGUAUAGGGGCGAAAGACUAAUCGAACCAUCUAGUAGCUGGUUCCCUCCGAAGUUUCCCUCAGGAUAGCUGGAGCCCGGUGCAGUUUUAUCAGGUAAAGCGAAUGAUUAGAGGUCUUGGGGUUGAAACAACCUCAACCUAUUCUCAAACUUUAAAUGGGUAAGAAGCUCGGCUUGCUUAGCUGAAGUCGGGCCUGGAAUGCCGGGGCUUCUAGUGGGCCAUUUUUGGUAAGCAGAACUGGCGAUGCGGGAUGAACCGAAAGCUGGGUUAAGGUGCCCGAGUCGACGCUCAUCAGAUACCAUGAAAGGUGUUGGUUGAUCUAGACAGCAGGACGGUGGCCAUGGAAGUCGGAAUCCGCUAAGGAGUGUGUAACAACUCACCUGCCGAAUCAACUAGCCCUGAAAAUGGAUGGCGCUGAAGCGUCGCACCCAUACCCGGCCGAGGGGUACGGCCCGACGAGUAGGAGGGCGCGGUGGUGUGCAGCCUUGGGCGCGAGCCUGGGUGAAGCCGCCACUGGUGCAGAUCUUGGUGGUAGUAGCAAAUAUUCAAACGAGAGCUUUGAAGACUGAAGUGGGGAAGGGUUCCAUGUGAACAGCAGUUGGACAUGGGUUAGUCGAUCCUAAGAGAAGGGAGAGGUCCUUGUGGAGGGGCCUCGGCGACCGUGCCGUCCCUCGAAAGGGAAUCGGGUUAACAUUCCCGAACCGGGAUGCGGAUAUUAGCGGCAACGCAAGCGAACUCGGAGACGUCGGCGAGAGCCCCGGGAAGAGUUCUCUUUUCUUCUUAACGGACUGG
rnacentral:rRNA from 1 species